UACGUAGGGGGCAAGCGUUGUCCGGAUUUACUGGGCGUAAAGAGCGCGCAGGCGGUCGUAUAAGUCGAAUGUGAAAGCCCCCGGCUCAACUGGGGAGGGUCAUUCGAUACUGUUCGACUCGAAGGCAGGAGAGGGAAGUGGAAUUCCGGGUGUAGUGGUGAAAUGCGUAGAUAUCCGGAGGAACACCAGUGGCGAAGGCGACUUUCUGGCCUGUUCUUGACGCUGAGGCGCGAAAGCUAGGGGAGCAAACGGG
rnacentral:rRNA from 1 species